rnacentral:rRNA from 1 species
AACGUAGGAGACGAACGUUAUCCGGAGUUACUGGGCGUAAAGGGCGUGUAGGCGGUUUGUUAAGUCUGGCGUGAAAGCUCUCGGCUAAACCGGGAGAGGUCGUUGGAUACUGGCGAACUAGAGGAUGGUAGAGGCGUGUGGAAUUCCGGGUGUAGUGGUGAAAUGCGUAGAGAUCCGGAGGAACACCAGUGGCGAAGGCGACACGCUGGGCCAUACCUGACGCUAAAGCGCGACAGCAUGGGGAGCGAACAGG